rnacentral:misc_RNA from 1 species
GAUGAAGAACGUAGCGAAAUGCGAUAGGUAGUGUGAAUUGCAGAUGUAACGUGAAUCAUCGAAUCUUUGAACGCAAAUUGCAUUCCCUGGUAUUCCGGGGAGUAUGCCUGUUUGAGGGUCGCUAAAUACACAUCGAUUAACAUUGCUUUUGAAGUAAAUGUUUUAUCGGAUUUGAGCUUUCUUUAUUCUACGAUAAAGUGGCUUAAAAUUUAUUUUUUUUGGUAUCAAGCGUAUUAUUUUACAAUCAAUUUUUGAUUAAAAAAGAACGUUUCGAAUGCCAUCCUUUUAAUGUAAUACGUUUGACUAUAUGUAAUAAAUAUGUAGUUCAUUCGCAUACGAUUCAUAAAUUUUUUUUUUUUGACCUCAAAUCAGGUAAGAGUACCCGCUGAACUUAAGCAUAUCAAUAAGCGGAGGA